AUGCUCUCUCAAGGUUUCAAAAGGUCUAAUUAUGAUAGUUGUGUUUAUUUGAAAACUGUCAAUGGUUCAACUAUUUAUUUGCUCCUUUAUGUUGAUGAUAUGCUAAUUGCUGCAAAGUGUAUGUCAGAGAUUAAUGACCUAAAGAAGCAAUUGAGUAAUGAAUUUGAGAUGAAGGAUUUGGGUGCAGCAAAGACAAUACUUGGCAUGGAAAUAUCCAGAGAUAGACCAUCUGGAAAAGUAUAUCUAAGUCAGAAGGGAUAUAUUGAUAAAGUUCUUCGUCGUUUUAAUAUGCAUAAUGCCAAGCCGGUAAGUACCCCGUUAGCUACACACUUCAAAUUAUCAUCAGCUUUAUGUCCUAAGUCAGAUGCCGAUAUUGAGUACAUGUCUAGAGUUCCCUAUUCAAGUGUAGUUGGUUCACUUAUGUAUGCCAUGGUUUUUUCUCGUCCGGAUUUAUCAUAUGCUUUGAGUGUUGUCAGUAGAUACAGGGCUAAUCCUGGAAAGGAGCAUUGGAAAGCAGUUUAG
rnacentral:rRNA from 1 species